GUGACAAUGGUGUAAACAAAACCAACUCACUGUUUAAGUAAUGUUUUUUUCCAGACAUUUGUGAUGGUGCUCUCUAAAGUCCAAUAUGCAUGACAGUCAUGCUACAUCAAGCUCAAUGGAGCCUCAUAUUCAACAUUUUUGAGACAAGCCAAAGAGAAGCUUAACAUCCCUGAAGAAACAAAUGUAUGUCUUGUGAAUGAAACUGGGUCGGAAGUUGAAGACAUAAGUGACAUUCCGGAGGAAAAAUCCAGCGUUGUCUGGAACAUCACAGAUGCCUUUUCUGUCAAAGAGUCUGCAGAGGAGUCUUCAUGCGUAGACACUUUCUCAUCACGUUCAUCAGUGAGCUGUUGUUCAUGUCCUCUCAAUGGUGAUGACACCUUGAUGACAUCCCCAAGAAGAGAUUCAAGUGAUGACAUUUUCUCGCAGUCCAAAGAGUGGGAAGAAGAGGGUUGUGAAGAUCUGUUCAAGAAGCUCUGAGCCAUGAUGUCCAGUUUCACAAACCUUCAAGAGAUGACAAGCUCAGUCCAGGGGAGGCAGCCCUACUACAUUUUAGCGGUUGGAGCAUU